rnacentral:rRNA from 1 species
UACAGAGGGUGCGAGCGUUUGUCCGGAAUCACUGGGCGUAAAGGGCGCGUAGGCGGGCGAUCAAGCGUGCGGUGAAAGCUCGGGGCUCAACUCCGAGUCGGCCGUGCGAACUGGUUGUCUAGAGUCUGGUAGAGGUCGAUGGAAUUCCGGGUGUAGCGGUGGAAUGCGUAGAGAUCCGGAAGAACACCGGUGGCGAAGGCGGUCGGACUGGGCCAGUACUGACGCUGAGGUGCGAAAGCGUGGGGAGCAAACAGG